rnacentral:rRNA from 1 species
CACGGGGGGAGCAAGCGUUGUUCGGAAUUACUGGGCGUAAAGGGCUUGUAGGUGGCCAACUAAGUCAGACGUGAAAUCCCUCGGCUUAACCGGGGAACUGCGUCUGAUACUGGAUGGCUGGAGUGUGGGAGAGGGAUGCGGAAUUCCAGGUGUAGCGGUGAAAUGCGUAGAUAUCUGGAGGAACACCGGUGGCGAAGGCGGCAUCCUGGACCAUUACUGACACUGAAAAGCGAAAGCCAGGGGAGCAAACGGG